rnacentral:rRNA from 1 species
UACGUAGGGCGCAAGCGUUGUCCGGAAUUAUUGGGCGUAAAGAGCUCGUAGGCGGUUUGUCGCGUCUGCCGUGAAAGUCCGGGGCUCAACUCCGGAUCUGCGGUGGGUACGGGCAGACUAGAGUGAUGUAGGGGAGACUGGAAUUCCUGGUGUAGCGGUGAAAUGCGCAGAUAUCAGGAGGAACACCGAUGGCGAAGGCAGGUCUCUGGGCAUUAACUGACGCUGAGGAGCGAAAAGCAUGGGGAGCGAACAGG